GACGAACGCUGGCGGCGUGCUUAACACAUGCAAGUCGAACGGAAAGGCCCUGCUUUUGUGGGGUGCUCGAGUGGCGAACGGGUGAGUAACACGUGAGUAACCUGCCCUUGACUUUGGGAUAACUUCAGGAAACUGGGGCUAAUACCGGAUAGGAGCUCCUGCUGCAUGGUGGGGGUUGGAAAGUUUCGGCGGUUGGGGAUGGACUCGCGGCUUAUCAGCUUGUUGGUGGGGUAGUGGCUUACCAAGGCUUUGACGGGUAGCCGGCCUGAGAGGGUGACCGGCCACCAUGGGCCCUGGAUUAGGCCCAAACUCCUCCGGGAAGGCAGAGUGGGGAAUAUUGCCCCAAAGGCGGAAACCUUCAGCAGCAACCCCGCCGGGCGGAAUACGGCCCUCCGGUUUUUAACCGCUUUCGCCUGUGACGAAGCGUGAGUGACGGUAAUGGGUAAAGAAGCACCGGCUAACUACGUG
rnacentral:rRNA from 1 species